rnacentral:rRNA from 1 species
ACGCGACCCCAGGUCAGGCGGGGCCACCCGCUGAGUUUAAGCAUAUCAAUAAGCGGAGGAGAAGAAACUUACGAGGAUUCCCUUAGUAACGGCGAGCGAACCGGGAACAGCCCAGCUUGAGAAUCGGGCGGCUUUGCUGCCUGAAUUGUAGUCUGGAGAAGCGUCCUCAGCGACGGACCGGGCCCAAGUCCCCUGGAAAGGGGCGCCAGGGAGGGUGAGAGCCCCGUCCGGCCCGGACCCUGUCGCACCACGAGGUGCUGUCGGCGAGUCGGGUUGUUUGGGAAUGCAGCCCCAAUCGGGCGAUAAAUUCCGUCCAAGGCUAAAUAGCGGCGAGAGACCGAUAGCGAACAAGUACCGCGAGGGAAAGAUGAAAAGGACUUUGAAAAGAGAGUCAAAGAGUGCUUGAAAUUGUCGGGAGGGAAGCGGAUGGGGGCCGGCGAUGCGUGCCGGCCGGAUGCGGAACGGCCCGACCAAAGGGCCGGUCCGCCGCUCGGCUCGGCAUGCGGACCGUUGCGGGCCGCGCCGGCGG